GGGAGCAGUAACACAGCUAGAUUUCCGCAGUUUGUUUGCAAAACGCCUCACCGUGCAGGCGGCUGGCUUGCGAAACCGAUCUCCUGAAAACAAAGCAGUCAUUGUAAGUGAAGUUGAGAAGAUAGUUUGGCCAGCCAUUGCAGCAGGCAAGGUGAAGCCUGUGAUCUUCAAGUAUCUCCCAUUGUCUGGAGCAGCAGAAGCUCAC
rnacentral:misc_RNA from 1 species